UACAAAUUGGGAGGGAUCUGGAGAUCAUCCAGUCCAAGCCCCUUGGCAAGGCGGGGUCCCCUGGAGCAAGUGACACAGGAAUGCAUCCAGUGUAUGGCCACGGCUCCUUGUCCUGCUGCUGAGCAUCACUAAAAACAGUCUGGAACCAUC